rnacentral:rRNA from 1 species
CCUACGGGAGGCAGCAGUGGGGAAUAUUGCACAAUGGGGGGAACCCUGAUGCAGCGACGCCGCGUGGGUGAAGAAGCGCCUCGGCGCGUAAAGCCCUGUCAGCAGGGAAGAAAAUGACGGUACCUGAAGAAGAAGCCCCGGCUAACUACGUGCCAGCAGCCGCGGUAAUACGUAGGGGGCAAGCGUUAUCCGGAUUUACUGGGUGUUAAGGGGGCGUAGACGGUGAUGCAAGCCAGGAGUGAACGCCCGGGGCCCAACCCCGGGACUGCUGUUGGAACUGGGUGGCUGGAGUGCAGGAGAGGUAGGCGGAAUUCGUGGUGUAGCGGUGAAAUGCGUAGAUAUCAGGAGGAACACCAGUGGCGAAGGCGGCCUGCUGGACUGCAACUGACGUUGAGGCCCGAAAGCGUGGGGAGCAAACAGGAUUAGAUACCCGUGUAGUC